AUGAACGCUGGCGGCGUGCCUCAUACCUGCAAGUCGAGCGAACGGACGAGAAGCUUGCUUCUCUGAUGUUAGCGGCGGACGGGUGAGUAACACGUGGAUAACCUACCUAUAAGACUGGGAUAACUUCGGGAAACCGGAGCUAAUACCGGAUAAUAUUUUGAACCGCAUGGUUCAAAAGUGAAAGACGGUCUUGCUGUCACUUAUAGAUGGAUCCGCGCUGCAUUAGCUAGUUGGUAAGGUAACGGCUUACCAAGGCAACGAUGCAUAGCCGACCUGAGAGGGUGAUCGGCGACACUGGAACUGAGACACGGUCCAGACUCCUACGGGAAGCAGCAGUAGGGAAUCUUCCGCAAUGGGCGAAAGCCUGACGGAGCAACGCCGCGUGAGUGAUGAAGGUCUUCGGAUCGUAAAACUCUGUUAUUAGGGAAGAACAUAUGUGUAAGUAACUGUGCACAUCUUGACGGUACCUAAUCAGAAAGCCACGGCUAACUACGUG
rnacentral:rRNA from 1 species